GCGUUUCCCCACAUCUGGUUUUUUGCAUUCCAGUCCCCCGCAAUGAUGAACCUCAGUGAUUGUGGAUUACAUAGUUGGUCUAUCCCUUUGAGGAGGCGAGGAAAAUCGUCGUUUUGCCAUUUCACAGAUGGUGGGCAAUAGAUGGAGGCAAGUACAAGGACCGAAUGGGCAAGGUCGCUACGAAUUAUUGUCGCAGCAGCCCCUCUGCUCUGCGACACCGGAUUUAGGGCAGUGUAAGCCUUGUAUCCAGGGAUAUCAAUGGUCCAUGUCCUAAUUUCGCUGACGAGCAGGACGUCGACAUCACGUCCCCUUAAGAACGCUGAGAGCUCGUCAAUUUUGUUAUGGAUGCCCCCAGCGUUCAGGAUAAAUUGGCUAGAAAGUCAUUGUCCGGUGAGGCCUUUGUUAUGUCAAACAUUUUCAAAUGUCAAACAAUUUUAAUAAACAGUGUUGGCAAUUUA